GGUGAAUACGGUGGAGAGAAACUGGUGUAAGGAGUUAAGAGUGUUUGCAAGGGAGAUUUCUCAUGCCAGAUCAUGGAAUCUCAGCUGGCUGAUAAGUGAAGACCUGAGGGGAGACAAAUAGUGAAAAAACAGUAGAGCGAUGGACUGGAGGUCUCAGGUGGGAGAGCCAGUAGACUGGAAGGACCAGAGUGAGUGAGCUGGUGGGCUGGCAGGUAGUGGGAUCUUUGAAUCUGAGAUUUUAGAGAUGGUAUAGAUAUUCACGGUUCCCAGGUCUAGGGUAUGACCAGGAGACGAGGAUGGGGCAAGAGAUGUAUUGCUAGGGCUAAGGUAGUCAAGCGACUUAGAGACUAGGGUGUUGGGCGAGUCAUCAGAAUUGAUGCUGAGGUCACCAAGAAUGAUGACAGUGGAGGAGAAAGAGCCCAGUGCUGAAAUCAUCAAGGGACAGAGGAAGUAACCAGAAGGAUAAUAAGGUGACACUAAUGAGAAGUGGUGGGUAGCAAGCUCUGUUGCCAUGUAUUCCAUAGGAGCUGGGUUUUUGAAGGAAGAAUGAGAAUCAGAUUGGAAGCUUCAAUGGCCAUAUCAUCUACUUCCUGGUGUCUUCAUCGUUCUUCUUCCGUGUGGAUUUCUUAUUUCCUCAAUUAGAGGCAAGUUUGGGCAGAACCCCAGCCAUGCCAUUUUUGCACGCGCUCCAGGCCAGCACAGCACCUGAUACAUAAUGGGCCUCCAGAAACGUUUGUUGCAGGAGUUGGAUACAAAUGCGUACACGGGCCUCUCACUGUUGUGGCCUCUCCCAUUGCAGAGCACAGGCUCCGGACACACAGGCUCAGCGGCCAUGGCUCACGGGCCCAGCCGCUCCGCGGCAUGUGGGAUCUUCCCAGACCGGGGCACGAACCCGUGUCCCCUGCAUCGGCAGGCGGACUCUCAACCACUGUGCCACCAGGGAAGCCCCCUAUAUGCUUUUUUUAAAAAUUAAGUUUCGUGGUCAAGUCAAUAAAUGGAGAUAUUUGUUAUCCUCUUAAACAGCUGUAUGGCUGUCCUUCAUUCAUCUUCACCAUAAUUUAUUUAACCCGUCCCCUGUUGAUGAUCAUUUAUGUUAUUCCAUGUUCAUUGUUAUCAACAAUUACCCAGAGGCUAUCCCUAUGUGUAUACAUCUUGGCACUCUUGCUGAAUUCUUCCUUAGGAUGUAUUCCUGAAAGUAUAACUGCAGGGUCAAAAGAAAAGAACAUUCAAAUUUUAGUGCACGGUGCCAAGUUGCUCUCUGUAAAGACUGAACAAAUUAAAACAACCACUUACAGGGACGGAUUCUGCUCUUGAGUGUAGUGCUGUUGGCAAGGGAAGUCCCAGUGGGCCAAGCAGCCAGAGAUGCUCUGGGAAAGAGCUGAGCUGUGGUACAGGGUAGGGCGACAAAGAAGGGUCUUCCAGGGAACAUGGUAAGAAAGCCAGUGAAGGCUCUAUGGAAAUUACUUUUGCUACCCAGCAUCCCUUCCCUGGGGGAAUCACCUUCCCCUCCACAGUACCCCAUUCAGCCUAUGAGCUUUGGGUGGCGCUGACCUCCCACCUUCUCCAAGACCCCCAUCCUGGGCUGGCCACAGAGGUGACCAUGACUGGAGCCAGAUCAGUCAGAAGUCUCCAUACCCUGAUGGGGGUGAUGGGUCCAAGCCAGGAAGAAGUCUUUCUUGCUCACUGAGCAUGAUGUGACACCACAACUGGCAGUGACCCUCUCCUCCCAUCCCAUGCAGAUCUGAGAGAUGGAGACAAAACCUUGACAGCCUUGCAGAGCCGCAGGACCUAGCCAUGUUUGAAGGCAUGAGGCCCAUCCCGGGCUUUUUGUGUACCACCAAAAGUCCUUUCUCCCCCUCAAAUUAUCAUGAGAUUUUAUUUUUUAAGCAUUGGCUUUUUUUUUUUUAAAUAAGGUACAUUUCACAUAAUAUCAACCAUUAACCAUUUUAAAAUGUGCAGUUCAGUGGCGUUGAGUACAUUCACAAUGUUGUGCAACAGUUGCCUCUAUCCAGUUCCAAAGACAUUUUCAUCACCACGAAAGGAAACUCCAUACCCAUCGAGCAAUCCCUUCCUAUUCCCUCUUCCUCUCGGGAAGUUUCUUAUAAGUGGAAUCAUACAACAUGUGAUGCUCUGCAUCUAGUUUCUUUCACUUAGCAUGCUGUUUUCAAGGUUUACCCAUAUUGUAGAGUGUUUAAGUACUUCAUUCCUUUUUAAGCCCGAAUACUAUUCCACUGUCAGGAAUAUACCACAUUUUGUUUGUCCAUUCUGAUGGACAUUUGAGCUGUUUCUACAUUUUGGCUAUCAUGAUUAAUGGUGCUGUGAACAUUCAUGUGUUCAUAUUUGUUUCAAUGCCUGUUUUCAAUUCUUUGGGGUAUAUACUUCAGGGUGGAAUUGCUGGGUCACAUUGUAAUUCUAUGCCCAUACAUUCUACAUUCUUUUUCUAGUUUAAGCCCACGUGAAGUGGGUUUCUGUCCUGGGCAGCCAAAGGAGUCCUGACUUACUCAGGCCUUGAAAGACGAACCAGCCUGGCUGAAGUGGAGAGCGGGGAGGAAAGUGUUCACCCUGGAAAGGGUGGGCAAGCAGCAGCAGAAACACGGAAACAGAGUGGGGAGGAAGUACAUUCUCCGGUGGGAGUGCCACAUGAGAAAGUCUUUUCUGGACACGUAGCCGGGCCACACUGUCUGGAAGACCCACAGAGAAGAGGAAUCUUAGAGCAGUUGCUUUGGCAACCCAGUCUGUGAGAGGAAAUACCCUCCUUCCUCUUUUUCUUCCUCCCCCCACCCCUUCCUGCCAAGGCCUGUGCAGGAUGCACCAACGGGGAGUAGUCUGCGUGGGAAAGAACACGUUUUCCUUUUUAUUUUAUUUAUUUACUUAUUUUUUGCGGUACACGGGGCUCUCACUGUUGUGGCCUCUCCCGUUGCGGAGCACAGGCUCCGGAUGCGCAGGCUCAGCGGCCAUGGCUCACGGGCCCAGCCGCUCCGCGGCAUGUGGGAUCUUCCCGAACCGGGGCACGAGCCCGUGUCCCCUGCAUCGGCAGGCGGACUCUCAACCACUGCGCCACCAGGGAAGCCCCACAUUUUCCUUUUUAAAUGAGAAAGGUUUGUUUCACUCUGGGCCUCCUACAGCUCAGCCAGGGAUCGAUUUCUCCAUGGCGGUGGGCCACAGGUCGGCCCUCAGGACCACGUUUGAGAGGGCCAGCCACCUUCACACCUGCCCGCUCUGCCCGGGACUCCAGGCAGAGUGAAACCCCUGAUCCAGCGUAGAAAAGAAAUCUGUGAGGUCUCUGCUCCUUUUCCUUCAUUCCUACCACCCACCCCUCUCGGCACCCCGAUGUCAUCAGUACCUUUGGGGGGACCGAACCAGGACAGUGGAGAUCUGUGUUUCUGCUCACUCUCAUUGAAGUCCAGUUGCUCACUCUAAUUGAGAUUCUCCUCAGAAUCUGCAUCUUCCCCCCUGUGGAAUGGAAUGCAGUUUAGGAGCUGAGACAGCAGCACCAAGUUGCCAGCCAGGUGAGGGAGCCGUCUUGGAAGUGGAUCCUCCAGCCCCAGUCAGGCCUUCAGGUGACUGCAUCCUCUGCUGAUACUGUGACUAAAGCCUUUCUGUAAG